UGAAUUCUGCCCAAUGGUUGUACAGUGAAACUGAGUACUAACGUAUAAAGCGAAACCCAACUGAAUGGCCGCGGUAACUCUGACCGUGAUAAUGUAGCACAAUAAAUAGCCAAUUAAUUGUUGGCGGGUAUGAAUGGAACCACGAGGGUUUUACUGUCUCAAGAGGAAAGCCGAUGAAAUUAUAGUUGUAGUGAAGAUACUACAUAGACAUUGUAAGACGAAAAGACCCUAUCGAGCUUUACUGGAUACCGAUAGCGUUAACUCAAAAUGAUCGAUACUAAGUAUUCUAAUUUUGAGUUAAUAAUUUUUGUUGGUGGGACAGUUUAGUUGGGGCGACUGCCUUUGAAUAAGAAACGAAGGCGAGCUUAUGGUAUACAAAGCUAAUCUCAUUAGCCUGACAGUGAGGGGGACACCCCUAGCUGGCACAAGGACUACAUCCUAUGUGGGCGAUAAUGACCCGAUAUAAUUGUCCAAAAUAAAUAUCGAAAGCGGAUAAAAGCUACCGUAGGGAUAACAGCG
rnacentral:rRNA from 1 species